rnacentral:rRNA from 1 species
GAGUUUUGAUCGUGGCUCAGAACGAACGCUGGCGGCAGGCUUAACACAUGCAAGUCGAACGCCCCCGCAAGGGGGAGUGGCAGACGGGUGAGUAACGCGUGGGAACGUACCUUUCGCUUCGGAAUAGUCCCGGGAAACUGGGUUUAAUACCGAAUACGCCGUAUUGGGAAAGAUUUAUCGGCGAAAGAUCGGCCCGCGUUGGAUUAGCUAGUUGGCGGUGUAAUGGACCACCAAGGCGACGAUCCAUAGCUGGUCUGAGAGGAUGAUCAGCCACACUGGGACUGAGACACGGCCCAGACUCCUACGGGAGGCAGCAGUGGGGAAUCUUGGACAAAUGGGCGCAAGCCUGAUCCAGCCAUGCCGCGUGAGUGAAGAAGGG